AGAGGCUCUGAUCAGCCUCUUCCUCUCUGCUCCACACAGGUGCUGGCCAUGUUGCAGCAAGGAAGACAGACAAGAAUCCCAGUCUCCUGGAGUUCAUGCGCUAGCACCGUGGUAUAUCUAAUAAGCGAAUAAAAAAUAUCAGGAGGUGAGGAAUGAUAUGGAGGACAUUAAAAAUGACUUCAAAAACUUAAUGAAGUUUAGCAGAGAUCCAGAUCUUGCAAAGACUCUGAGACCGAAGGGCCCGUGGGCCUGGGUCUCCUGUACAGACCACAGUAAGCCUGGACCCACCACUCUGACUCUAAAUCCCAUUCGGCUUCUUAAUGCCAUUCACCUUUUGGUUUAAUUUCUUUUAAAGACAUUACAAAUCCAGAAGCAAGAAGAAAAAUUAAAUUGCAGAAGAUUAAAAGCAAAACAAAACCAGCAAAGUCCCUCUGACAUGCAGAUGGGCAAAGAUCAACCACACACGCAGGGUCUUGGCCACACCUGGAGCGUUCGGGCCCUCAAACCUGCCCAGUGGGGUCUGUGCUUCUCUGCUCACUUGCCUGCCUCUCCCUCCCUCCCUCUCCCCCUUCUUCCCUACCUUCCUAAUUUCUAUAUUUUCUAAAAUAUUUC
rnacentral:lncRNA from 1 species